rnacentral:tRNA from 1 species
GCGAGAGUGGCGGAACUGGUAGACGCGCUGGACUUAGGAUCCAGUGGGGCAACCCGUGGGGGUUCGAGUCCCCCCUCUCGCACCA